GGUUCGCCAUUCGAAAAAAAAUCACAUGCCUCCUCUCGUACUCCAUGCCUCUGGCGCCAGCGGCGGCGACCCACCCCGUCAUCCUUCUCGUCGUCCCUCUUGUCGGAGGCGGCCGACCAAUGGUUGGUCAACCUCCAUUCCCCCUCGCCCCCCGGCGCCCGCAUCAUCUACCACCACCAACCCCGCCGCCCCUCCCCUCCCCCAGCUCGAUCUAGAUUCCAACCCCACAAAAAAAGCUCGAUCUAGAUUCCUAACCCGUUCACCCCUCCCCUCUCCCAGCACAACAUGCUCCGUCGGCGGCAAUGGCGACUCCUUCUGGCCGGAUAGAGGAGCCGAGGCCAGCAGGAACUCCCCCUCAUCUGGUGAAGAGAACACAUUUCGGUACACCCACCAUUAUAAUUUGUUCUAUUGUUAUAUUGGUUUGGGGUUGCAGAACCUAAGAUCUCAAGAUAGCUGGGUACUUUUCCUGAAGAAACUAUUGAGUCCCAGGUGGAUCAACCUAUGUUCACCUCAUGUUUAGGUGUUUCCCAGCUAGGCAGCGAUUUCUUCUUCCAUAGACCAAACUGCGGGCAUUCUCUUAAGUAGACCAUUGACCUGCUUGAGGGAAUGGUCGCAGAAAGUUGCCAAUACAAGCCUUGGAUUACUGUCAGCUAUGAGAUGAAGUUCGGAGAAAGGAGCUAAAACUUGACUCACCAGGCCUGGCUGUGGAGUCUAGAGCAACCAAGGCCAGCCAAGUUGUUGGAAGACAAAUUUUCUCUGUUCUCAAAGCUUGUGGUGGAAUCCCUGAUGAGGUUGAUACACACUUGAGCCAGCAUCACAAAUGUUAUCAAAAUUAAAUUUUACCUUAUCCAAAUUGUGGUAUGCAAAUAUUAGAAAGGCACACUACCGGGCAUCGAAGGAUGUGUUGGCUCUUGACUUAUUUCUGCAGGCGGCGGCACACCAUGAACUAACUGGAGGAGCCAAACUGGAUUUGUAGGCUUUUGCAAAGUGCUAGCACCUACAGAUGAUCUGAAUUUUCCUAUUGUAAAUGUCAUGAGGCAUGAGCCACAACCUCUUCAUAGAACAUUAAAACAAAACAUUGAUCCCCAUGUGGGUACACAUUGUCCUUUUAAUUUAUUUUUCCAGUAGAUGAUUUUGGAAGAUGUUUUUUUACUCCAUGCCCUUUUGUGUACUAAUUUUUUGGGUGAGCGCCACAUAAGUUAUAUUGCUAUA